rnacentral:rRNA from 1 species
GAUCCUGGCUCAGGAUGAACGCUAGCGACAGGCUUAACACAUGCAAGUCGAGGGGCAGCAUGAACUUAGCUUGCUAAGUUUGAUGGCGACCGGCGCACGGGUGAGUAACGCGUAUGCAACUUGCCUAUCAGAGGAGAAUAGCUCAUCGAAAGAUGAAUUAAUGCUCCAUAAAACAAGGGGUCCCGGCCAUGGGAAGUAAUUUGUUUAAAGUAAUUACUAUCGCUGAUAGAUAAGG